AAAAAUUUGAAAAAAAAAAUAAAUUUUAAAUUCGUAGAAAACCAGUGAUUUUGAUUUGAGUUAUGAACUGAGAUGGAUGGCCACCCCUACUCUUAAGUAAUCUCUCCUUGUUUACAAAAUGCAAUUCCUCAUGCAUUUGAGUCUCUCUUGCCAAUUGCGUUGACAAUCAUUGGAUUGUAUUGAUUUCCGUACAAAUUUAGCUUUAUUAAUUUUGAUUGCAACUUUCUACACGUCCAAUUAUUGUGUCAUUCAUUUGUUUUACUUGUCAUCUUAGGGAAGCUCUAGUGGGCGAACUGGCAUAGGUAGUAAGAGUUGCUUGAUAGUGUUGGUGACAAAAAGGGGGAAAAAAAAA
rnacentral:misc_RNA from 1 species